rnacentral:tRNA from 8 species
GGAGGGUUCGCCUAGUGGCCGAUGGCGCUGGUCUUGAAAACCGGUAAGGCAGCGAUGUCUUCGUGGGUUCGAAUCCCACACCCUCCGCCU